rnacentral:lncRNA from 1 species
AACUACAUAUGAGAGAAUGUGUUGAAGGAGCAAGGGCCGUGGCUCUCUGCUAGGAGAGUGUUGGAAUUCUUGCAGACCACAAUUUUUCGUACUCUGAAUUAUGACCAACCCAACCAUAGACAGCAAGGUAUCAAUUAAAUUAACGGCACUGGACAACUAGCAAACCGCACUUGACUUCACAACAAAGGAAAUUUUUAAGAUCAAGCACUCAAUCUGAAAAGUUGUGACAAACAAAAACACACUAAUGAGCAUAAUUGUACAAGAGAGGUUACAUAUGUGUUGAUUAAUCAGAAUAAGGAUGCAAAGCAAUGAUGAAUAUAUUAAAAUACAUAACCAGCAGUAAAUGAACAGUUUUAGAAUAUAUGGGUCAGGAUGGUUCCUAACUCUUCAUUAGCAACCCAAGAGGCCCACACUAAUGAGCAUAAUGGUACAAAAGAGGUUACAGAUGCAUUGAGUAAUCAAAAUAAAGAUGCAAAGCAAUGAUGAGCAUAAUAAAAGUGCAUAACCAGCAGUGAAUAGGCCGUUUCAGAAUACAAGAGUCAGGAGUAUUCCUAACUCUCAAUUAACAAUACAAAGAGCCUCACUACUCAGCUAUAAAAGGGGGGACAGAUUACUCAGAAGAAGAAAAUUGCUACACACACACUGAGCACAGAGAGAUACAUUCCGAAGACACAGAGAAAAACCAUACAUCACGCACAUACAUUCAGCAAGAAGAGAUAUACAACAUAGUGAGAUAUCACACAUAUACACUCAGUACAAACAGAGAGCAUUCCAACCGCCUUAACACAUAAGGCAUUACAACGACUCAGAGCAGGUACUACAACGAGUUCAGAGAACAUUUCUAACUAAUAGAAUAAGUAAGCAAAUAGAGAAGUGAGAGUAGAUGGGUCAUUACCUUGCUCCGGCGACCAUCACGAAAAUAGGAACCCAAAUUUUGGAGCCAUGAUCAAUACGUUGUGCCUCACCGACACUGCAGAAGAAGGUUAUGGUUUUUUAGAAUCCCUUUUUGGCACUUAAGAGUCCCUGAACCGCAUCACCUCGAACCACCACCACCGGAGACGGAAUUAGAAAGGAGAUGAAGUUGGGAAUUAGGGAUUUCAAUUUUUUUCUUCGCAACCUAUCCUGCGUGAAUAUUAGGUAAAGGGGAUAAUACCCUUCAAUUACCCCCUUUCUUUGGUUUUACACGAUGCACUUC